rnacentral:rRNA from 1 species
UAAGGAAUAUUGGUCAAUGGAGGGAACUCUGAACCAGCCAUGCCGCGUGCAGGAAGACGGCCCUCUGGGUUGUAAACUGCUUUUAUUCGGGAAUAAACCACAUUACGUGUAGUGUGCUGAAUGUACCGAAGGAAUAAGGAUCGGCUAACUCCGUGCCAGCAGCCGCGGUAAUACGGAGGAUCCAAGCGUUAUCCGGAUUCAUUGGGUGUAAAGGGUGCGUAGGCGGCUUAUUAAGUCAGGGGUGAAAGACGGUGGCUCAACCAUCGCAGUGCCCUUGAUACUGAUGAGCUAGGAUGGACGAGAGGUAGGGAGAAUGUGACGGAUAGCGGUGAAGUGCAUAGAUAUGUCACAGAACACCGAUUGCGAAGGCAGCUUACUAUGGUUUAAUUGGCGCUGGGGCAAGAAAGCGUGGGGAUCAAACA